rnacentral:rRNA from 1 species
UUAAACGCUAAAUAAGGACAUGACACAUGCAAAUCAAACAUUUAUUAUUGAUAAAAUAAUAAAUAUGUGGUGUAAACGUGAGUAAUAAUAUAAGAAUUAAUGAACUAUAAAAUAGAUUAAAUAUCUAAUAAAUAUAUAUAUAUAAUAUAUAUAUAUAUAUUAAAUAAAUAUUUAUUUAAAGUAUAAUAUUUGUUUAUAGUCAAGCUUAUAAUAGUUUAGGUAGUAGGUUAAUUAAUAGUUUAUAACCUAGCCAACGAUCUAUAGUUAAUAAUGAAAGUUAUAAUAACCACGUUGACUUUGAAAUAUA